GGGCCUGUAGCUCCAAUUGGCAGAGCAGCUCCUUUGCAAGGAGACGGUUCUCGGUUCAAAUCCGAGCAGGUCCA
rnacentral:tRNA from 1 species